UCCCCACCCCAAAGUGGACUUACUCUUAUUUCAUGUAGAUAAUUCUUGUUAAUUCACAGUUUUCAUUCAGAUUUGUAGGAGACCUGGUCUGACUCCCUACUCUGACGUUUCUUAGCUGAAUGACUAUGGGCAAGUGAGUGAUGGCAACUCUUGUCCCUACAUGGACUUCUUUAAAAUAGCUACGGGGAAUCAGAAGCAAGCUUAUAAGCAGUGAAUCCCUUGUAAUGAAGAAUGAAAAAGAAGAGAAAAAAGGCAAUCCAGGAAAACCAGCCAACACAAUCACUACAUCUAACAUCAUAUGCAACAUUUCACACCCACUUCUGCAAAGCAGGAAGAGGUUACUUUUCUCUUUUCUGGAUCAUAAAAAGCCUGGUCAUUAUAAUUAUGGCAUUCCUUUUUUAUUUUUAGUUUAAACAUACUUGUUUAUUAUUUGUCACAUUAAAUUUCCACAAACAUUACCAUUUCUUUCCUUUCUACUAACUUUGUUGUAAUCAUUGCAUACAUUGUUUUCUUGGUUCUGCUUACUACACUUUGUACUAGUUCACAAUUGUCUUCCCAUGUUUCUCUGAAUUCUUCAUAGCCUUGUUUCUUACUAUGUAGCAAUAUUCCAUUAUUUUCAUGUACCACAAAUUGUUUACCUACUUUGUUUCUAGUUCUUUGCUUCUAUUAAA